rnacentral:tRNA from 1 species
GGUGGGAUGGCGGAGCGGUUACGCGUGCGCCUGCAGAGCGCAUUUACGGGGGCUCGAAUCCCCCUCCCACCU